CCUUCGGUAAAGGACCUCGGAAGGAUCAUACCGAGUGAGGGCCCUGCGGCCCAACCUCCCACCCUGUUCCAACACCUGUGUUCGCGGGGGCCACCGGGGCCACCCGUUCGCCGGGGGACAUCCUGUCCCCGGGCCCGCGCCCGCCGAGGCGCUCUGUGAACCCUGAUGAAGAUGGGCUGUCUGAGUGAUAUGAAAAUUGUCAAAACUUUCAACAAUGGAUCUCUUGGUUCCGGCAUCGAUGAAGAACGCAGCGAAAUGCGAUAAGUAAUGUGAAUUGCAGAAUUCCGUGAAUCAUCGAAUCUUUGAACGCACAUUGCGCCCCCUGGCAUUCCGGGGGGCAUGCCUGUCCGAGCGUCAUUUCUGCCCUCAAGCACGGCUUGUGUGUUGGGUGUGGUCCCCCUGGGGACCUGCCCGAAAGGCAGCGGCGACGUCCGUCUGGUCCUCGAGCGUAUGGGGCUCUGUCACUCGCUCGGGAAGGACCUGCGGGGGUUGGUCACCACCACAUCUUUUUACAGGGUUGACCUCGGAUCAGGUAGGAGUUACCCGCUGAACUUAGCAUAUCAAUAGGUGGAGGAACGUGCCGGGCCCCCUCCUU
rnacentral:rRNA from 1 species